rnacentral:rRNA from 1 species
GGGUUUGAUCCUGGCUCAGAAUGAACGUUGGCGGCGUGGAUUAGGCAUGCAAGUCGCGCGAGAAAUCAAUUAGCUUGCUAAGAGAUGGACAGCGGCGAAAGGGAGAGUAAUACGUAGAAAUCUACCCCUUGGUCUGGGAUAGCGUCGGGAAACUGACGGUAAUACCAGAUAAAGUUUUCGAACCAAAGGUGUGAUUCCGCCGGGGGAUGAGUCUACGUGCUAUUAGCUAGUUGGUGAGGUAAUGGCCCACCAAGGCAACGAUGGCUAGCGGGUGUGAGAGCAUGACCCGCCUCACUGGGACUGAGACACUGCCCAGACACCUACGGGUGGCUGCAGUCGAGAAUCUUCGGCAAUGGACGCAAGUCUGACCGAGCGAUGCCGCGUGCGGGAUGAAGGCCCUCGGGUUGUAAACCGCUGUCAAUUGGGAGGAAAGUUCUGUGAAGAGCAGGACCUGACCAAUCUUUAGAGGAAGGACGGGCUAAGUUCGUGCCAGCAGCCGCGGUAAGACGAACCGUCCAAACGUUAUUCGGUAUCACUGGGCUUAAAGAGUUCGUAGGCGGCCAUGUAGGUCAGGUGUGAAAUCCCACAGCUCAACUGUGGAACUGCGCUUGAAACCACGUGGCUUGAGGGAGAUAGAGGUGAGCGGAACAGAUGGUGGAGCGGUGAAAUGCGUUGAUAUCAUCUGGAACACCGGUGGCGAAAGCGGCUCACUGGAUCUCUUCUGACGCUGAGGAACGAAAGCUAGGGUAGCGAACGGGAUUAGAUACCCCGGUAGUCCUAGCCGUAAACGAUGAGCACUAGUCCGUGGGAACUUCCACAUUUUCUCGGACGUAGCGAAAGUGUUAAGUGCUCCGCCUGGGGAGUAUGGUCGCAA